ensembl:lncRNA
GGGGCAGCAGGUGUCGUCGGUCUCUCCGAUGAUAGCUAUUCAUUCAUUAUUUCCUUUGACUCUCGAGCUGCCCUAGCCCUAGCUAAAUCGUACAAUGAAUGGUUUAUUCUAUAUGAUUUGUAUGCUGUCAAUUUCUCUCGCACCACCCGUCUCAGACACCAUAGGAUGCCUUGAAGGCCUAAUCCGUAAAGAAACGAUACGAUGUAAAAACAUUUCAACCAGAGAUGGAUAUUAUAAAUACCCCUGGCCUUGGGUUGAAGUGUGUGAUAUUGAGCAUGAAGUUUACGCCGACGAUCAGAUGAUACUGGCUAACGGUAUUGGUGAAUUCCCUCAACAAAAACUCUGUCGAAACCUGACAGUGAAAUGCUUGUACACAAGUGAUGGCAAAAAUAAAGAAUUCUGCGCGAAAUUUGUCAUCGAUCACUCAUCUUCUGCUUCCUCUUUAUUAGACCCAGGAAAACCUAAACAACAGUUAAACAACACAAGUGAACAGACUGACACAGACUCAGUGAAAAAUGAAACAUCACCCACGGAUCAACAUACCCAGCCAGCUGCGUUUUGGAUUACUGUUGUUGGGCCGGUGGUGGCGGUGGUGUUGGCGGUGGCGGGCGCAGCGUGGUGGUGUCUACAAAAAAAGAAACCGAUGCCAACCCAGAACCAAGGACUGGAGUUAAGAUCCGACGAUGGUGAUCAGACAGCACCGGGAAAUGGAGUCACGACUGAAGACGGGGCUGCACAAUCAAUGCUAAGUGGAACCAAUAGACCUGUUACUGGGGACGGGACCGUCACCCUGACAAAUGAUGGGUCCCCUUUGGACGGAUGAAGGCGCCGUUGACUCACUUCUGGCUGUUGGACAGCCUAGUGCUCUGGUGCUCGAGGCAGGGGCGGAGCAGGGCAAGGCAUAAGGCGCGGGAGAGGGAUAAUAGGUUGGUAGUUACUCAAACUACCUUUGAAGAUAUACUAAUUCAUCAUGGUGUGAGUAAACAAUAAUAAUAUAUAUAUAUAUAUAUUGGUGAAAUUAAUCCCUAAAAUAAUCUUGAAAAGGAAUAAAUGAGUGACUCUUUGUUAAUCUAUUCUGUUGCAUUUGUUUAAGCAAAUAAAUUCAUGUUUGUCAAAUUUGCCGAAAACUGCAGUGCAUGCAUGAUGAGUACCGUAUCUGCUCCUUGAUUGGUCAUCGGUCGUCAACUGUAGGCUGUUAUCAUUGCAGACAGAGGGCCUCUACGAAUAUUCAAAUCUCCUAACCUUUAUGCCUCCUUUCCUUAACCUUUGUGGGAAAACGUCAUCAGAUCUAGGAGAGAUAAAAAGGUGCUUCCUCUCGAACAUAGGAAAAGAUAGCACUGCUUAAAGAUGAAUUUGACUCCACUCUUCCUAACCAACGUCAUUGUGCGAUGGCGGGUAUUGCUGACCUCUAUCGUCUCUAGUGUGAAACUACGAUUUUCCGAAAAUUGACUGCAACAAGGGCUCUUUGAUCAAUGCGUUCUUGUCAUAUUGAUUUCAAUCAGGUUAUCGCCAACAGUGAGAAUCACUUGGGUCGGACUUGGCCAACGGGAAUAUUUUAGGCCACUUGAAUUCCAAUUCACAUGUGAAAGAAAAGAGGCUAAACUCAUGUUGAUGUUGAAAUUAACUGCCCCCAGUAGUCUUUCUUAAAUGUGAAGUUGGCAUUUUCUUUUCUUAUGGUGUAUUUUACGUGCUUACUAACCAGUAGGGCUGUCAACGAAUAUUCGAAGUUCGAAUAUUCGUUCGAAAUGUAUCCAAAAACGCGAAUUCGAACGUGAAAGUUAAUAUUCGAAUGUGAAAAAACACUCCCGCGGUACAAGCGCCUCUAUCUGCUUUGUGAAUGAGCCUCUGUCUGUUCGCGAUGUCCCUCAUAAUAUUCGAAUGUGAAAAAACACUCCCGCGGUACAAGUGUAACAGACUAGUAUUGUGAAGAGCGAAUGUAUUUUAUCCCCUCGGGGUUUCCGUACUUGGAUAUAGGUAUUCCAGCUCGGCUAUGCCAUUCAAUAAGCAUCCGUAGUAGAGCUCAGGGAGCUAGUAGUCUGGCUGGUGAAAGCUGCUAUAACGCAAUGUUCUCGGCAAAGUCCGAGACAGCUUUUUUUUCAUGAAUCCGAACGGUGCGUAGUGCUGGCCCUUUCGCUGGCAUGGUGAAAGACGUAGGCGACAUGCAUUUUUUUCUUUAUUGAUUUUAAUAGGCCUUCUCGAUAAAUGGUAAGCAAAGCAAGGAACGUUACCACUAGCAUACUUUGUAACAUUCAGAAGCGGGCGUCUUCUUCAGAUUACUAUAGUUUGCGCGCUUGCAGGUGUGGUGGUGAAAUGCAAGCGAUACAAAGAUGUGGCUUUUCAUGAUUAGGCCUCCACGUUACUGGGCUGUUUAUAGGAUAUAUAUAUAUAUCCCACUAAUUUGAACCAUGGUUUUGUCGCAUUAUUGACAUAUUGACGGCAACUGCGUAAAAUAGGCAACCAGAUAUUCGAAUAGUUCGAAUUCGUGAUUUUUUUCCAAACGAACAUUCGAAUGUCAUUUUUGAGCAAUUUUGACAGCCCUACUAACCAGCAAUAAAAUAAUUCAUUUAUAUUCAAAUAAUUAUGUUUCUGGAAUUGGUAUCCGUUAUUAUCAAUUGUAUUUUCUUCUCUUCUAUUCUUCUGCUUUACCGCGUCUCUCAUGCGUCUUCGCGUAGAGUCGAUAAACUUUGUCGGUGGAAUGUUGCUUUAAAUAAUGCCGCCGUAAAGGAUUAUGGGAUACCACUAUCUCCUUUCCUUUCGCAAAGGUUGCUCAGGAGUAACCUAUGUUAAAGGAGGGUGAAAGGAAGCAUCGAGGCUCCUUUCCUAAGCAUUUUUUGAAUUCGAACCACCUUUCCUCCAAGCACUUCCGGGUCAUCUCCAUAGGAAAGGAAUUUUCCUAUGCAAAGAAGAGAAUUCGUAGAGGCCCAAAGUUAUUUUUUUCCUUGUUCCUUCUCCCACUGAACUUGAAACUUCUAACGAUACCAAUGACCAUGCUUUGCCCUGUUGUAGCACUAGUGUGGUGAUUAACAGCAGUUCUACUCAGAUAUAGGAGGUAGCUGAGAUGAGAACCACCACGGAGGUAGCUGAGCUGAGAACAACCACGGAGGUAGCUGAGAUAUUACACAUACACAACACAAUUCAAGGUAAUGAUUUCCCAACAGGCCGAGGUAAUUUCCCUGAAAACAUAUAUGAAGCUAAUGUUAAGAGGUACAUCCUUCAAACUGGCCCAUGUAAGUUUAAGGGUCCCUUUCCACUUACAGGCAAUCGUAGAUUUUCAACCCAUUAUUUUACGUCCAUCACUAAAGCUGGUUUUAAAUUGCCACGCAGCUGGUUGUGCUAUUCCCCUAAACUUGACUGUGCGUAUUGCGAGCCAUGCCGGCUUUUUGCAGUCGUCAAAGCCCCUCGUACAACAAUGCUUGGGUAAACGGGUUCCGAAAUUGGAAGCACAUCACCUCCAAAAUGGGGGUCCAUGAAUCUUCACAGAUUCAUCUCGGUGCAUGCGUUGUGUAUGAGCAGUGGAAACGCCAUGGUACAAUAGAUGCUGAUAUGGAGAGGGAGGUUUGUAAUGUGGCUAACUUUUGAGGCAAGUGUAAGAGUGUAUUGUGAACAUCCCUCUUAUAUUGGCCUCUUGUAACAUGGCAUUUAGGGGACAUAGAGAAACCAUUGGGCAGGGAAAAUCUGGGGAUUUUCUGUUCAUAAUAGAACUGUUGGCCCGCUACGACCAUGUCUUAAAAUAACUGAUCAGUCGGCCCGAGGGAUCCAUAAAAUAUCUGAGCCAUGCAAUUCAGGAUGAGAUCAUUUACAUUUUAUCUCAGAGAGUCAAGAGCAACAUAGUGAAUGAAACUAAUGCUUCCCUGUUCUAUUUAUAGUCAUUGCGGACAUUCAAGAUGUGUUCAUCUGACUCAGGUCUACAGACAUGUUGCAUUUGGCCGAGAUGAAAUGGGUGUUGCUACAGACAUUAGGCUAGUUGAGGCUUUCCUUGGAUUUGAGUUUACGGUAAAUUUCUCCGCCUCUGAACUGGAGAGCAAAAUUUUGAAUUAGAUGGACCUCCUCAAAGCUUCUGUGUUAUUGCAGAACGCUUUAAGAACUCUACAGAGUACAGAGAAAAGUUUGAUGAAGCAAAGUCUUCCACACUGGCUUUGAAAUGGGGCAGAAUUUGAAGCCACCAGGUUAAAAAAAGUGAAGCGUCAUUUUUAUGAUCUUUGCGAAGACAGUUCGCUCCCCGACGCAGAGAAUUACUUCAAGGUCAAUGUGUUCUAUGGUUGUCUUCCUUUUGGUUAAUCAUGAUGUGUUUGGGAAAGCUGAAUAAAAUGAUCCUUUUCUUCAUUUUGCAAUUUGUUUUCUUUUUUAGUUUUUGAGUGGAUUCAGACAGGGGUCAUAAAAUCAGUCAGGGGGCUCAUCCACAAAAAAGUUGAGUUGGUUUUUCAAUAAUUAUGUUUUGAAGGAGGCUGACCUCUAGAAAUAAAUCGAUGCAACAGUGGCGGAGUUGCUAGAUAUAUUCACCAAGGAGCAGUUACUGAGGUAAGAAAAAGAAAAAAAAAAAGAAAAAUGAGGGACAGUGUUAAGCAGCAGGUUGUAAACUUUUGGAGCUGGAGCAAGAGUUGAGGCUGUUGAAGAUGGCAAUGGAAGAAAUGGAGUCGGCAGGCUUGCUAACAUUGAGUCUUUUCAA